rnacentral:other from 21 species
GUGUCCUGCCGCAUAGGCAGCUAAGAAA